rnacentral:rRNA from 1 species
AGCGUCCUCGGGGCGCAGCAGUGGGGAAUAUUGCACAAUGGGCGCAAGCCUGAUGCAGCGACGCCGCGUGCGGGAUGGAGGCCUUCGGGUUGUAAACCGCUUUUGUUCAAGGGCAAGGCACGGUCUUUGGCCGUGUUGAGUGGAUUGUUCGAAUAAGCACCGGCUAACUACGUGCCAGCAGCCGCGGUAAUACGUAGGGUGCAAGCGUUAUCCGGAUUUAUUGGGCGUAAAGGGCUGGUAGGCGGUUCGUCGCGUCCGGUGUGAAAGUCCAUCGCUUAACGGUGGAUAGGCGCCGGGUACGGGCG